UCCGUUGUGGUCUAGUGGCUAGGAGUAAGCGACCCCACCACAACAACGCAACCGUCAGCAUCUAACACCUUCACAGUUUGUCGCUCUCAUCGGACGAAACGUCCCUAAGUGCCGACAAGGCCGGGGUUCGAUUCCCCGCAACGGAA